GACAGAGGUUGCAAGCGUUGUUCGGAAUUACUGGGCGUAAAGCGUGCGUAGACGGUUAUUUAAGUCGGGUGUGAAAGCCCCGGGCUCAACCUGGGAAUUGCAUUCGAGACUGAAUAGCUAGGGUACGGUAGAGGGAAGCGGAAUUUCCGGUGUAGCGGUGAAAUGCGUAGAUAUCGGAAGGAACAUCAGUGGCGAAAGCGGCUUCCUGGACCAGUACCGACGUUCAGGCACGAAAGCGUGGGGAGCAAACAGG
rnacentral:rRNA from 1 species